ensembl:lncRNA
UAUUGAUAAACUCCACUACAAUCUCUUCAUGUCCUGGGGAAAAUCCAUAAAAAUGUCUGCUUAAGAAACAUAUAUAUAUAUAUUUUUCAUUUCUAGUUUCCAGACCAAUGUUCUAUGCAUGAGCAAGUAAAAUAUGUACAUGUAUAAUAUAAUCCAUAUGGCUCCUAUUCCCACCAGCCUGUGGAAAACCAAUCCCCACACACAGACUGCAUCGAUUACACCGUACCCCCCUAAAGGAAAAGCUCUCACCCUGGAAAUAUCUCCCAGGAUGCAGAUUUAGCAAAAACACGGCGAUAUUUUAUUACCGCGUUUAGUCUGAGGCUAGAUACGGCGGGGAUUUCAUCUGCCUUCUCUCGUCUCGAGGAGAAAAUGCUGCAGAUCUCAGUAGAAUCGCACGAUCGCUAAAGUGAGCAUGCUAUAAAUAAGGAAUAAAACACUUCAAGAAACGCCGUUUUUGUACUCUUACAGGAAACUAAUCGGCGACGGAAUGGUCUGACGAAGCAGAGUUACUGUCACCAUUCUGAAGUUGGUUAUUUCUCUGUAACAUCACAUCCGGAAGCGUUUUAAUCCUCCUACAGCACAGUAAUUUGCCAAUUCGUUUGAAGUUUUUCGUUAAUUAAGGUAUGAUGUUCUACAUCUUAUCCAUUUACAGGUAUGUAUAACAUUCUGGAACGUAUACGAGAGACGUUAGUUAUCAUCAGUCUGUCUCUUUUAUAGAUUACAAUGAGAGUUGGUUAAAAGGACAGCCUUAGCUGCAGAAACUGGCAUCUUAGUUAGCUGCAGAACUGGCAGGUUAGUUAGCUGCAGAAACUGGCAUCUUAGUUAGCUGCAGAAACUAGCGGGUUAGUUAGCUGCAGAAACUGGCAUCUUAGUUAGCUGCAGAAACUAGCGGGUUAGUUAGCUGCAGAAACUAGCAGGUUAGUUAGCUGCAGAAACUAGCAUCUUAGUUAGCUGCAGAAACUAGCAUCUUAGUUAGCUGCAGAAACUAGCAGGUUAGUUAGCUGCAGAAACUAGCAUCUUAAUUAGCUGCAGAAACUAGCAGGUUAGCUAACUUAGCUAAUUUUAGAGCUGCACAAAUUUCUGGUUAUUUUUAAAGGUUUUUUAUUUUAUUUUAUUUUGUACAAGUUUGGCUGCUGCUAAGUAAAAAGUGAAAUACCAGCAACAAAUUCAUGCUAGCUUGCUAGCACUUACGUGACUAGCUGGCUAGUCGUUGUGGAUUGCAGGUGGAUGGGUGUGUUUUUAUGUUGCAUAUUCAUGUACUUUCGUAAAUCCUGCUGUGUUUUUUUAUUUUAUUUAUUUAUUUAUUUUAAACGAGGCUAAAGAUGUAGAGGUGUUGCUAGGUCCUUUCUUUUUCCACAGAAGUUAUUGGUGAAAAUUUGCACAUGCGUGCGUACUUCUAACUUUCAAAUGUGGCACAGUGAUGUUUCCUUAGGGUAUCCUUUGGUAUCCUAAUGAGAAAAUCAAUCAGUUCAGAGAAUCUUGUGCUCAGUGUGGUGGUGGUGGUAUUAAAUUUUGGCUUGGUUUCAUUUCUGAGCGCGGCGUCUUGGCGUCUCCCUCGUUACUGUACGAUUGCUUUUCUCCUCCACACGAGACAGCUGUUGUGUAAUACGCUGAAAUCCGCGGUAAUUACGGACACCGGGGACCUUUACUUUUGUUUCUCCGAAGCAUUGAGACACCUACACUAAUCUCGGCGUUUUCCCGCUAACACCGAGCUCCUUUUAGAUAAUUCGUUUAAGACGGGAAAGCUUUCGUUCCUCCCCCCCAGGUGCCAUGCUGAUUAUUUCAUUUUAGCAUGUGAUUCACCGGCAGCGUGGCGAUGAAGCAGGCGUAAAGUGAGUCACGUAUCCCACGAACAUCUGUGUGUUACAGUGAGCAACGUUCACUCCAGCACCUUCUGCAUCCUGACGUUUAUUUUUAGAAAGAUUAAACCUCCUGGGAGCCAGACCUUUGGAGGUGAUCCUAGAUUAUACAUAAAUCCGCAGGGAGAAGUCGUGGAGCGCCGAGGUCGAAGGUACCGUAUAGCGGGGUCUUGUAAAAUGAGCUCCGGUCUUCACACCUGUGACGGAUGAGCUCACAUAAACGUGAAGGUCCUGCGGUGGAAGGUUAAUCGGGGGAAAUUUGUAUUCUCUCUUGAAGCUAGAGCUCAGGUGCAGGUUUAUAAGCCAUCUGGAGCACAACAACACAGCACGCGGCAUCUGUUUCCUUUCUAGUCGCUUUACUGUAAUAUGAUGUGUGGUUGAACAGCCUCCCCAGGCCCCGGCGCUCCUUCUGGACUAAUGUCUCCUCUCUGUAGAGCGAUCUUUAAUUCCUAAUUAUGUGCCUUGCCUGAUGCCAGGAAAUUACAGAAUUAAAGUCGAGUUAAAGAACAUUACCAGCGUUCAAUUUACGUCAUUUUCGGCAGCAGUUAACUCGUAAAGUCGGAUCUGUCGGCUCUUGAUGUAUUAUGCAGUGACUGAUGUUUGGCUGCGUCGCAUUUAUUCUCUCCUUAAAACGACGAACGAUUGGCUUUAUAAACGAUCAGGAAGUACAACAGGGCGCACGGUGGCUUAGUGGUUCAUCUCACACCUCCAGGGUCGGGGG